rnacentral:rRNA from 1 species
GAUGAACGCUGGCGGCGUGCCUAAUACAUGCAAGUCGAGCGAACAGACGAGGAGCUUGCUCCUCUGACGUUAGCGGCGGACGGGUGAGUAACACGUGGAUAACCUACCUAUAAGACUGGGAUAACUUCGGGAAACCGGAGCUAAUACCGGAUAAUAUAUUGAACCGCAUGGUUCAAUAGUGAAAGACGGUUUUGCUGUCACUUAUAGAUGGAUCCGCGCCGCAUUAGCUAGUUGGUAAGGUAACGGCUUACCAAGGCAACGAUGCGUAGCCGACCUGAGAGGGUGAUCGGCCACACUGGAACUGAGACACGGUCCAGUCUCCUACGGGAGGCAGCAGUGGGGAAUCUUCCGCAAUGGGCGAAAGCCUGACGGAGCAACGCCGCGUGAGUGAUGAAGGUCUUCGGAUCGUAAAACUCUGUUAUUAGGGAAGAACAAAUGUGUAAGUAACUAUGCACGUCUUGACGGUACCUAAUCAGAAAGCCACGGCUAACUACGUG